CCAACGUGGAUAUCCCUUGAGGUUGCUCUCAUGGGCACUGUCCUGGUGGCGUAUGGGAGCAUAGUGUCUUUGGGCACAAUGAUGUAUAAUCCCUUUCCACAACGUUGGAGAGCAUGCAUGUCCCCAGCCCAUCAGCUGGUGUGGGCUGCAUCCUGCAUAUUCCUAAAACUUUCCAGUAAGCUUUGGCAAUGACUGGGAAGACAAACCAUGCAGGUUACAUUA